rnacentral:tRNA from 1 species
CUUUAUUUAAUAUAGUUUAAAGUAUUUUUAUUUUCCAAAUAAACUGACAAAUUUUUAAAUUUGAUUAAAGA